ensembl:lncRNA
CAAAGGCGGAAACCAAAGAAAUUACAGUAAUAGCAGAGACUGUAUCUGCAAACACAAGCUCAGGGACUCAAAGCUAUUUUGCAACUGGUGUCACAGUAUUUCCAACUCAAAGCCCAGCCACCACACAACCUCCAAAAUCUGAGCCCACAAACACAUCCUGGCCUCGAUCUAUUAUGUCCUCCACUUCCCACAAUGACACACCUCCCUCACAGAGCAGCACACCAGCGCUCCAGACACACACAAAAGGAACUUUGACCACUGCAGAUGAAUUUACCAACUCUCUUCCAUUCCCUGCCCCCGAAACAGUGCCUGAAUCAAGGACACCAACACACCUCACCUCAGCUUCAGCCCCCACAAGAUCUGCAAGUAUGAAGAUGCUGCCCAAUGAGCCAACACCAAGGGAUCCAAUUUUGCAAUUCAGUAAUGCUACUGAUAAGCCAUCAACAUCCACAUCUGGACAAUAUACAUCAGCUGAUGGUGUUGGAAGUACAGUUUCAUCAAAGCCAACCACAAAUCCAGUCUCUGCAGACAUACAUGACUUUCCUGAGGGCUCAUACACCGACAUGGCUUCCAACUCUUCAACUUUACCUUUAACAGCCUCUACAACAGAUCACUCAACAAUAUCUCUAUCAGGUAUAUCCUCAAUGUCAUCAGAAAUACCAACUGUAACACCAUCGUCAACAACACUGUCAACUACAUCUGAAAUGGCAAUUCACUCUGAAUUACUAUCGACAACUAAGAAUUCAGCAAUGCCAGGAGAAAGUAGCACUAGCGAAACGGCUUACACAUCUAUGCCUGAUAUCUCCAUGACAACUGAAACACCUGUCACCAUACCACAGCCGAUGACCACACAACUCUCUACAGAUCCAGCUAUUCCUUCAGAUGGUUCAGCUUACACAUCUAUGCCUGAUAACUCCAUGACAACUGAAACACCUGUCAAUACACAACAGCCGAUGACCACACCACUCUCUACAGAUGCAGCUAUUUCUUCCGAUGGUUCAGCCACACAAAUGCCCACCCAGACAACAUCAUUCUCCAUGGCAACUACUACAAGUCAUACUAGAGUGCGUACAUCGAGCCCAAGAGAGCCUCCUACAUCAAGUGUAUCAACUACUGC